CAGACCCACGAGUGAUCUGCAGUCUCUACACGAACCACCAUCUCAGACCUGCCCUCUCCUCCCUCUCUCACUGUGUGUGGAAAAAAAGAUGGGACAGUUUGUUCCAUCCUUAAUAUCCGACAAGCCGAGUGUCACAGACAGAAAUCCCGUGCAGAGGGACUCCAGCGCUCUCGCUGCGGUUCUGCCAUACGAGUCGAUUCUUUUUCUGAGAGGAAGCGAAGUAGCCUGUUCAGUGAAGAGAGAAUCAAGGUCUUCACUCUGCUUCUUGAAAGAAAGGAGCUAACCUGUCGCCUAGCAACACCUCCCACUCCUGCCGAAGCCAGAGGAAGAGAAGAGAGGAAGAGGAAGGACUGAAGCUGUCUAUGAAACUGAUGAGAGAGACAGAGCUUACCAUUGCAGGCAAAGCCGUCUGGCCCCAGCUCAUAACCCUGCUCGCAUCGACACAGGAACGUCCCGUAUGUGUUAUAACACCUCUGACUGCAGGGGGCCCCCAUUGCACACUCAUCGACAUCUG